UACGAAGGGGGCUAGCGUUGUUCGGAAUUACUGGGCGUAAAGCGCGCGCAGGCGGUCUUCCAAGUCAGUGGUGAAAGCCCGGAGCUCAACUCCGGAACUGCCAUUGAAACUGUGAGACUUGAGUACGAGAGAGGUGAGUGGAAUUCCCAGUGUAGAGGUGAAAUUCGUAGAUAUUGGGAAGAACACCGGUGGCGAAGGCGGCGACCUGGUCCUUGACUGACGCUGAGGCGCGAAAGCGUGGGGAGCAAACAGG
rnacentral:rRNA from 1 species